GGGGUUGGUUCACACCGCGAGUCAACCCAGACGUUAAAUGCCACAUUUGGAUUCCGUCGCACGGCCAAUCUCACUGUUCCUCCCGAAAGCCAGAUCAGAGCGGCUGUGGUGCUUUCGUCCGAUCAAGCAUUGCCGACGGCUAAGGCCGAAAGAUCCAUCGAUUGCGGCGUACGAGGCGGACGAAUGGCAGAGUCAGCUGACGAAGGCGGUUCCAGGGAUCCGGCCUUGGGAGCCGACGGGGAUCCACGGCGCAGUCCCAAGGCCUCGACCUGCAAGGGCAAGUCCUGCAAGGGAUGCCUCUACUACUCCUGGCGCCUCAAAUCCGACGCCCGUAUCCCGGUCGGCGUUGGGAUCGGCCGGACGCUUCCCCAAGCUAAAGGGGGUGGACUUUUGGUGGAAUUUUGGGUGAUUCAACUUCAUUAACUGGGAGAACGUUUGUUGUGUUACUUCUGUGUUAAUACAGUCAUGUGCCUCCGCUGAUUCCUUGGUGGCUUUGUUGUGAUGAGAAGGAAAUCUUAAGCAGGAAAAGUAUGAUUAAGACCGUUGUUGGUAUUGAAUUGUUCAUUUCACUUGAUGAUAAAUAUGGACCAGUAGGGAUUAGGAAAGUGAACCCUUCAGAUAAAAAACCAUUUAAGUUACUAGAAUAUUCAUGGGGAAUAUAUGUAUGGCUGAUUAUGAUAGGAAAAGAAAAGAGAGAUAGAGAGGAAGAGUGGUGGGAAAUUUGGUGGAAGAGGCAAGUGAGAAACUUUAUUUCUUCUUCUUCUUCUUGACAAGUCUCUACGCUUGGACAUUUUCUUUGACUAACUUUAUUUCUACUAUAUCUACUUGAUCAUGAAAUAUUUCACCUACUUAUAUAGCUUAGAUAAAAGUUACAAUACUGAAUUUGAUGGCUACACUCAUACACUUUAGUAUCUUGACCUAUCAAAUAUUCUAUUGACUUUUUAUUAUCAUAGCCCAUUUAGCCUCUUUCUUCAUGAUCAUCUUUAUCAUGUAACCUCUAAUGUCUCUUCAAAUCUAGAGGUUAGGAUUCUUUUACCCAUGUGUUCAUACAAGAGAGACUUGAAUUCUCACCUUUAAUUAAGUUUAAUUUUUCUCAACACCCUUUUAUACUUAUUCACUUUCAUCAUCCAUUCUAAGUAAUGUUUUCAUUUUGAGAAAUAUCUUUGAGUUGAGGAGAUUGGUGAAAAUAUUUGCAAUUUGAUCAUUGGAUGUGAUAUAGUCUAAUAAGCUUACUUCUUAUAUGAAAUGAAAGCGAACAUCUAUAUGCUUACUUUGUUCAUGGAAGAUAAGAUUCUUGGCCAUUGCAAUAGUUGACUUGUUAUCAACAUAUAUCCUUAUAGCUUGAUGUUGUGUAUUAUUUACUUCCUCUAAAAGUUUUUUAGCUAUAUAGUGUGAUAUACACAUGAUGAUGUCAUUAUAUGUUCUGCUUCAGAUGCAGAUAGCCCCACAAUAAUUACUUCUUUGAAUACGAAAUGGAAGCGGUGCUUGCUCUUAAUUAAGCUCCACAUCUCUACUUAUAACAACAUUUGAAUUGUUAGGAUAAAAUAAUUUGUAAGAUUUUCACAAAAAGAUCUUUCUUCUCGUCCAUGCUCCUCUUAGAGUCUUCUUCUCGAAACUUGAUAUAGAGCAUCAGAUUAUGACAUAGACGACACAAGCAAUCGCUUCUUCACAAACACUUUGGGCAUGUUUUUGGUUUUGAGCAUGCUUCUUACUAUGUUAAGAACAGUCUGAUUCUUUCUCUCCGUCACAUCAUUUUGUUUGAGAGAAUAUGACAAAAUUAGUUAAUAUUAAUUGUUAUGUUCAUAAAAAAAAGUUUUCAAAUGCUUGAAGGUGAAAUCACCACCUCAACUGGAGCAGAUGGUUUUAAUAUAGUAGCUGGUUUUAAUAUAAUUGCUGUGUUCAGUCUCCACAAAAGUUUUGAGCUUCUUGAGCAUACUAAAGGCUUUCCCUUUUUUAUUUCAAACAAAAUAAAUCUAAGUUUGUCUUAUAUUUGAAAAUAGUGAUGCUUCCCAAAGGGUGUUGGAUUAAUAGAACCACAAAGAUCGGAAUGAAUUAGUGGAAGUGGAUUCUGUACUUUAAUAUUUAUCUUAUGUGGAAGCUUCUUCUUCGUUAAUUGGAAAAAACACACCUUUUACCUAUUUGACUUGAGUAUUAUGUAUAGUGGGAGGCUUUUUUAGUAGAUAGCAUGUUGAGAUCUCUAAAGUUCAGAUGUACAACAACAAAGCUGUAAAGUCUCAACUAUUUGGAUAGCCAUAAAGUUCCUAAUUAAGUUUAGAGUAUUUAAAUCUUUAUUUAUAGUUUCUAUUAAAGUCUUUUUAGGUCUUCUGCUACAUUUUCUCAUACCACUGUUAGUAAUCAUUUCACCUUUUCUAACUAAUGUACUUGUAGGUUUCCUAAGCAUAUGUUCAUACUAUCUUAGAUAAUUUUCCCUCAUUAUAUUUUCUAUCGAAGUGAUAUCUAAUUGUUCAUAAAUAAAAACAAUUCGUUUCUUAUCUUUCCUGGUAACUUCGCACAUCCACCUUAACAUUCUCAACUCAGUAAUACAAACUUUUUAUAGAUGUUGCUUUUUAACUGUUCAACGCUCAAAUCCUUAAAGUAGAUUCUUAAAGUAUUGCUAGUUUAACAACUAUCUUAUAAAAUUACAUUUUAAUCUGAACGGUACCGGACGGUAACAUGAGACUCUGGAUUCCCCUUGUCAUUUUAAGCAUCCUAUCUUUACUGUAUGAAUAAUAUUUUUAUAAAUAUCUUUAUUUUGUUAAAUAAUUGAGUAAUUGACCUAAGAUACCCAAAACUUUUACUUAAUAGAUAUUCUUGCCCAUCCAACUUAACCAUAUUUGAAGUUCAAAUGUCCAAGCCUAAAAUGUCAUAGCCAUGAUAAGUCUUUCCUACAAGUCCUUAAGCAUCUUGUCACAUUGUGGUUAAUGGUUAAGAUGAAUAAUCUAUUCUCUUCAUUUGAAUAAUUAAAUGAUUUGUGUCACAUCUUAGAAAAAGUUGUUUGUUUUUAAUGUGAAUAUCAUAAUCAUUUUCUCAUAGCUGUCCAAGGCUAAGGAUAUUGUUAUUCAUGUUUAUCACACAAUAAACAUUUGAAAGAAAUCGAUGACUUCUAUUUUUGAGGGGGAUUAAGAUUUUACCUUUGCCUCUCACCGAUAGUGGAGUCUUCAAAGUAGACGUGUCCUUUUACAGUUUCAUUCAACUCUUUGAACAUAGAUUUUUCAGUUAUCUCCAUAUAAAUGAUUGCUAUCUCCGGUUUCCAUGUAUCAUUGUUUUGCAUGACAACUUCUUCUUUAAUGUUAGUAACAAGAGGAUAUCUUCUUCUUUCUUUUCAACAUAAUUAACUUUUUCCUCAGCUUCAAUUGUUUUUGUUCUAAUAACAUUCAAAAGCCUACUGAUCAUAAUUUUUAAACAAUAACAUUGAAUCUUGGAAUGAUUAUACUUUUGGCCUUAUGUAUCUCCUCAUUCUUCUUCUUGUUUUAGACUAUGGUCUCUCUCAUUGUUUCUUCCUCUUCCUCCUUGACCAUGUUCUUUACCCUGGCCAUGGUUUCUUCCACAUCCACAUCCUCAACCUCUUUCCAUGACCACAAUCACUUGUGCCGACUUGUUCCACCACAUCCGGUCACCUCUUGUUGACUAAGUGUUUAUGUGUUUGCAAAAAACUCAGUAUCUCAUCAAUAGUCAUAUGGUUUCAAUCUUUUGAUCCUUGAAUAGAGACUAUGAUAUAGUUGAACUUCUCAUGCUAUAAUCGAGCUAAUUUUUACAGUCACACGAAUAUCUUUUAGUUUCUCACUAUUUCGUUUUUAGUUGAUUCAUAUGGUGAACAUUCUUAUAAAAUAGUGUCGGACUUAUUCAUAUGCAAAGUUUCAAAUUCAGCUCUAAGUGAUUGAAAUCGAAUUUUUCUCACAUUCUCAACUCCUUUGAAGGAGUUUUGAAGAAUCUCUGAGGAAUUUUUGGAGGUGUUCAUGGCUGCAAUCGUCUCAAGGUUGCAUUCAUCUACCCUUUGGUAGAUGAGGAAGAGCUACUUAUUGUCCUUCUUCCUCAAGUCUUUCAAGGUUUUCCUUUGGCCCAUUGUAAAGAUAGCAUCAUCUUGAGGUUUAUCGUAGCCUAUACCACCUUCCAUAUGUCUUGAGAUCGAAACAAGAGCUUCAUUUGAAUGUUCUAAUUCUUGUAGUUCUCUUUUGUGAGGUGAAGAACUUGGGAGUUGUAUGCUAUUGGCCAUUUUGAACUUGUCUCUUAUUUCACUUUGAUAGAAAAAGGGGAGAAAGAGAGAGAGAGUGGUGGGGAACUUUGGUGGAAGAGGCAAAUGAGAAACUUUAUUUCUUCGUCUAAGUCUUUACUCAAUUUUUUUUCACUCAUUUAUUACUUAAUCAUGAAACAUCAAACUUAUUUAUAUGGCUUAGAUGAGAGCUAUAAUACUUGAUUUGAUGGCAACAUUAAUACACUUUGUAACCUAUCAAGUUUUUUAUUGACUCCUUGUUUUUAUGGCCCAUAUAACUUCCUUCUUCAUGGUUAUCUGUAUCAUGUAAGCUCUCAUGUCUCUUCAAACCCGGUUACAAUUCUUUUACCCAUGUUCAUGCAAGAGACUUGAAUUCUCCCUUUUAAUUAAGUUUAAUUAUCGUAACAGAUUAGUUAACUUUUGUCUUUUUUGCCAACGUAGAUUGCUUUGGCCUGAGACAACUUACUACUACUGGCAUACUCAGAAAGAAUUCAUCAAUUAUUUUGCAGGUUUUUAUAUAAAUUAAGCUUCAUCUAUGGUAAUCUGUUGGGAAAGCUUGAGUUUGUGAUGUUUACUUGAAAUCUGAAAUAUUAUGUACAUGAGAUUGAUCCUUUUUCAUUGACAACUAAAUAUGUACUCUUGUGACCAGUACCUAACUACAUCAUCGGUGAAUCUGAAAUGGAAGCUACAAAAGAAGGCCGUAGCUUGUCAGAUUUCAAGUACACUUGUGUUGGUUAUUCAGUUUUCCUUGAUACAAAAAACGAUAAUGCUGAAAAGCCAGAGAACCAAGCAGAGUUGCCAUUUUGUGCAGGCAUUGAGAUGCUACACCAUUCACAACCACGAGCACACCGAUCAGCUCACCCUUCAGGGGAUGAAUUGUCAAACAGGAAAGCAUAUGGUUUUAAUUCUGUUCCUACGUUUUCCUCAAUGUGAUUAAGAGUAAAGAAAUGCUAGAGGUUUAUCUCCAUGCAGGUUUAGAAAGAAUGCUGGGCUGGUGGCUUCAGGUGUCGCUAAGAACCUGAACAGAGUCGGCAAUUACAUCAAAGAAAGUGUUGACAACAUAUUGUAUCCACACCGCAGGUGACCCAAGUAAGAUCUCGACCCCAACCCACACAUCUUAUGACCAACAAGAAACAAAGAAAAGAAGUGGGUUUUUCUUGAUGUGUGUUCCUCUCUGUUGUUGGCAAUAUCAGUUUGAAUCUGUAACUUUGUUUCUAGAAUAAUUUUGUUGUAAAAAUUCAAAUGCCUGGCUGCUUGCUAGCUGCAUAUUUGUUUGGCCAUUGCUAAUAGCUGUUAUAGGGGCCAAUAUUAGCAGUAUUCAUAUC